GCCUAUAAUGCAGUUCGAGCGGACUUGAUGAGAAGCUUGCUUCUCUGAUGGUUAGCGGCGGACGGGUGAGUAACACGUAGGCAACCUGCCCUCAAGUUUGGGACAACUACCGGAAACGGUAGCUAAUACCGAAUAAUUGUUUUCUUCGCCUGAAGGAAACUGGAAAGACGGAGCAAUCUGUCACUUGGGGAUGGGCCUGCGGCGCAUUAGCUAGUUGGUGAGGUAACGGCUCACCAAGGCGACGAUGCGUAGCCGACCUGAGAGGGUGAUCGGCCACACUGGGACUGAGACACGGCCCAGACUCCUACGGGAGGCAGCAGUAGGGAAUCUUCCGCAAUGGGCGAAAGCCUGACGGAGCAAUGCCGCGUGAGUGAUGAAGGUUUUCGGAUCGUAAAGCUCUGUUGCCAGGGAAGAACGCUUGGGAGAGUAACUGCUCUCAAGGUGACGGUACCUGAGAAGAAAGCCCCGGCUAACUACGUGCCAGCAGCCGCGGUAAUACGUAGGGGGCAAGCGUUGUCCGGAAUUAUUGGGCGUAAAGCGCGCGCAGGCGGUCAUUUAAGUCUGG
rnacentral:rRNA from 1 species